GCCUCGAUAGCUUAAGCUACCAAAGCAUUGGUCUUGUAAACCAAAGACUGGAGACACCCUCCUCGAGGCC
rnacentral:tRNA from 1 species